rnacentral:rRNA from 1 species
CUUACGUAAGGGCACUCUAAUGAGACUGCCGGUGACAAACCGGAGGAAGGUGGGGAUGACGUCAAGUCCUCAUGGCCCUUAUGGGUAGGGCUUCACACGUCAUACAAUGGUCGGUACAGAGGGUUGCCAAGCCGCGAGGUGGAGCCAAUCCCUUAAAGCCGAUCGUAGUCCGGAUCGUAGUCUGCAACUCGACUACGUGAAGUCGGAAUCGCUAGUAAUCGCAGAUCAGCAUGCUGCGGUGAAUACGUUCCCGGGUCUU